rnacentral:tRNA from 1 species
UCCCCCGUACUUCAGUCGGUAGAACGGCGGACUGUUAAUCCGUAUGUCACUGGUUCAAGUCCAGUCGGGGGAGCCA